rnacentral:lncRNA from 1 species
CCUUAGGGGAUUCAAGCUUGGAUUCGAGGUAGGUGAUGGUUGUGAUUUCAUGUUGGUGUGAUAUAUGUUUGUAAUUGCUCAUUAUAAUACAUGUAUGUAUGCGAAUGUUGCAUUAUUGAUCACCAUAAUCGUAAAUGAGGAUAAUUGAAUAAUUGUAUGUCAUGAAUCACCUCUUGUUGUAUGAUUGUGAGAAUAUACAUUGUGAUUGU